rnacentral:lncRNA from 1 species
CGUCGCGUCACGCGGCGCCCCCUAUGGACCCCUCGCGUCACGCGAGAGGGUCAAUUUUCAGCUAUAAAUAGCUUGGUUCACAAGCUGUUCGUCUGUGUCAAAACUAAUUCACAAAAGUGAAUUCUCACCACUCAAAAUUCAAAUUUAAGAUAUCGGGGUACUGCUACGAUACCGGGUAUUAACUUGAUCGCUGCUACGAUUCAAUAUCCGAUCAACUGAAACUAUCCAACAGGAUGUUUAAGUGUUAUCCUUUGUCAUUAAUCGUGAUUCCGACAGGAUGUUUGAGUGCCGCCCAAACUCGGGGUGGACUCUGUCAUUCGUUGUGAAUCCGAUGGAUGUUUAAGUGAUUUCAUUUUGUCAUUCGUCGUGAGGGUUUUAGUCUCGUGAAUUUAUCGUAAAUGCUGUAUUAGUUAUUUACCUAGUUUUGUGUGCAUUAUCGCUUAAAUUAGGUUAUCAGGCUUAUCAUUAGACUAAACACUACCCCUUACACUUACAAUCAAAGUAGAUGCUAAUUCUCAAAACAAUCUGAAUCAUGAAGCUUGUCAAUUCAAUACUGCAUGUUUAUAAUGUAAUUACAGUAGAUUGGAGUAAGAAUUGGAUCCGGCACUGAAGGACUUCAAGAAGUGGCUUAUUUUAUUAAUUAAAUCAACUUAAAAAAAAUAUUGUUUUUGGGUUUAUCCCGUAUUAAAAGCUACCUUUGUAAAACAUGGAAUUUAUUCCAU